rnacentral:tRNA from 2 species
AGAAACUUAGGAUUACAUCAAACCGAAGGCCUUCAAAGCCUUAAACAAGAGUUAAACCCUCUUAGUUUCUG